CAGUAGCCGCGGGAAUACGAAGGGGGCUAGCGUUGUUCGGAUUUACUGGGCGUAAAGCGCACGUAGGCGGAUCGAUCAGUCAGGGGUGAAAUCCCAGAGCUCAACUCUGGAACUGCCUUUGAUACUGUCGAUCUGGAGUAUGGAAGAGGUGAGUGGAAUUCCGAGUGUAGAGGUGAAAUUCGUAGAUAUUCGGAGGAACACCAGUGGCGAAGGCGGCUCACUGGUCCAUUACUGACGCUGAGGUGCGAAAGCGUGGGGAGCAAACAGGACUAGAGACCCGUGUAGUCCCUGUCUCUUAUAC
rnacentral:rRNA from 1 species